rnacentral:rRNA from 1 species
GACGGAGGGGGCUAGCGUUGUUCGGAAUUACUGGGCGUAAAGGGCGCGUAGGCGGAUUAGUAAGUUGGAAGUGAAAGCCCGGGGCUUAACCUCGGAACUGCUUUCAAAACUGCUAGUCUUGAGUGAAGUAGGGGAUGAUGGAAUUCCUAGUGUAGAGGUGAAAUUCUUAGAUAUUAGGAGGAACACCGGUGGCGAAGGCGGUCAUCUGGACUUCAACUGACGCUGAGGCGCGAAAGCGUGGGGAGCAAACAGGAUAGAU